rnacentral:tRNA from 1 species
UUGCUAGUGGCCCAGUGGCUAAGGCUCUGCACUCCCAAUGCAGGGGACCCAGGCUCAACCCCUGGUCAGGAAA